rnacentral:rRNA from 1 species
UACGUAGGUGACAAGCGUUGUCCGGAUUUACUGGGCGUAAAGAGCGCGCAGGCGGUCGUUCAAGUCGGGUGUGAAAGCCCCGGCUCAACUGGGAGGGUCAUUCGAUACUGAUCGACUCGAAGGCAGGAGAGGGUAGUGGAAUUCUCGGUGUAGCGGUGAAAUGCGUAGAUAUCGAGAGGAACACCUGCGGCGAAGGCGGUUGCUGGCUGACACUGACGCUGAACUGCGAAAGCUAGGGAGCGAACGGG